rnacentral:lncRNA from 1 species
GUCAUCAGAAAACAGCAUCCCAUAGACACAGCCUGAGUACCUUGACCUCACCUCCUGUAAGACAUGAAAAGGUAGCAUUGAAGAGUUAUUUUGCAAUUCUCAGUGAGAUAAUUGGAUUAGAGAUGAAAAACUGAAAGGAACCUUGGGCAUCUUUAAGUCCAACACCUUCAUCUUACGACUGAAGAAACUGAAUCCUUAAGACUC